AUUUUGCUUAGGGCUGGAAGUUGUUUUAGUUUUUUUACCUAUUUUGGGUCUAUCUCUUGAUUAUUAUUGUUUCUUUUGCAUUAUUUUAUUUGGAUGAAUUCUUAAUGUGAAGAGGAAAUGCAUCUGAGCACUCAUAUGUUACUAGUUAUCAACAAAAUAUUACGUCUGCCUACCUUGAUUUCAAUGUUUACUUGAAACAUGCCUAAUCAUGAAAACGGAAAAAGUUCAUAAGGAAACAUGCCUAAUCAGCAAAGUAUAUAAAUUUGCUCCUAAACCAAUUGGGAAAAUCUAAUUGCACCCUUAACUGCCUAUUUUGACCUAUUGCAAUUGCCAAUUUUUAUUUUUGUAAAACCAAUUUUGUGCAAGUCAUCAAUUAAUAAUUGGAUGAAUAUAUAGCUUCACGUCUCUUUAUUUCAACUUAAACAUGAUAAUUGAUUUUGUUAUUCACUAACGAGUUAGGGAAAUUGUGCCUAUUUGUUAAUAAAAAAAAAGGUGUAAUGGGUUGAAAUUGAGUGUUAGGGGUACAAACUUUUUCCCAAUUAGUUUAGGGGCAAGUUUAUGUAUUAGGCCAAUGUUGAAAUUCGAACAGUUAUAAUCUUAUUAUCAUCCUAUUAUUUUGAGUAGAUGUCUCAAUAAUUCUAUUUCAUCUUUUAAUUUUUUUAAUCAAUAAUAUUUGUUAUAACAAACUAGAAUGAUUAACAACCAAAUCUGUGCAUGUUCACAACCUAUUGAUAUGGCAAACAAUGUGGUAUAGGGCCUAUUUGGCAUUGUUGUUAGAGAUGCUAUUGAGAAAAGAACUUUCUAAAUAUAUUAGUUAGAGAGAAUUAAAAAUUGGUUUAAAAUUAAA
rnacentral:misc_RNA from 1 species